ensembl:lncRNA
GAGUGUUAGUCUGUUACUUUCAUGCCUACUCAUGCUUUUUUAUGCUUAUUAACCAAGGCUGAUACAUGGCAUUCAUGCUUGUAAUGAGGGUAGGUGUAGAACCUGCACUACAGAAUGCAGAAUCAACUGUACUACAUCUCACUAGAUUAUUCUACCGUUUACUGUCACAUGAGUCCAUAGACCUGAGUGAAUAACAUUUCUGUCAGUUUAUUAAUUUAAUUAUAUUUUGUCGGUCUGUUGUUUUGUCUUCCUUUGUAUUGUUUUUCUAUUUUCUUAGAUUUAAAUUGUAUUCUACAGCACUUUGAAUCAACCAUGAGUUGUGUUGAAAGUGCUUUAUAAAGCAAGAAAUAAAGAUAAAUAAAUAAAGAAAGAAAGAUUAAAACCAGCAACAACAACAUAAUGAAAGUGCAGAGCAGAAGAGAUGGAGUCGUUUCAGAUAACGUUUCCUAAUUACAGCUUAGCUGUUCUCCUCCAACACUCAUUCUCAUAUGCUAUGCAUUUAAUAUACCUCUCUCCGUGUGUGUGUGUGUGUGUGUGUGUGUGUGUGUGUGUGUGUGUGUGUGUGUGUGUGUGUGUGUGUGUGUGUGUGUGUGUGUGUGUGUGUGUGUGUGUGUGUAUGUGUGUGGUCACAUGCAGCAGGUUUUCUUCUUCACUGGCGGAUCCACCAGCUGUACUGUGCGCUCCCAAACUCUGUCCUCCUGCUCCUUUAGUACUCUGAUUCAACAAAAAGAGCAGUGAAUAAAUAACAGAUACACAUCAGUAAAUAAACAAUACACAAACAGGAUUCAGAAAACAACGUCCAAAAUCUUCAGAAUAAAAAUAAUAAAAUAGUGAAAGGGAUUUUUCUUUAAAUUAUAUUCCUAAACCAAUGCAUACUUCCAACUGAAACAACCCUUUAUCUGAAAAGUUUUUCUCUUGUCGUAAGCCAGUUUAUUGUAGUUUAUCCUAAGCUGGUGGUUCUCAAAUUGGGGUCUGGGAAACCCCCAGGUGUCCUCAAUGCAUAUCCAGGGGGUUAGUGAUUAAACAAAGUGGUUACAGCCCAGCAAUCUCACAGUACUGAGCUCUUGAGUGGAUUUAAUCCAAACCAUAAUAACUCCAAAACAAGUAGGCUUAUAAAUAUACUUGAAUCUAAUGUAAUGUUAAUAGAAACGUGCUCUACAAAUGGAAGUUCAGGAAUAAAAAGCUCUAUGGCUCCAAAAAAUAGCAAAUAUUAAUGGACAUCUGUAAAUAAUGAAAUUCGCAUUUUAAUAGCUGGAUUAUGUUCACUAAAACAUGUACUGGGGUUUCCAUGGUGUUUGUUGGUUUGUUUGUUUGUUUGUUUGUUGAUUGAUUGAUUGAUUGAUUGAUUGAUUGAUUGGCUGAUAGGUUGGUUGAUAGGUUGGUUAAUUGGUUUACAGUUAAUGGAGUCCCUGUCUGCAGACAGUUUGACAAGCCCUGUCCUAAGCUGCUUAGUUCAUCAGAGGUUCAAUCAUUCUUGUUCUGAGUUAUACUAAAAAUUGAUUCCAAAAAGUUAAAAAAAAUAUACAAAUGUGCAUUACAAUACAGUUAGGGGAUACAGUAAAGCCAAUAUAGGCUAGAUGUGGUGCAAUCAGUAUAAAACAUUAGAAAAUAAUGCACAGUACAAUAAUGUGAAAUAUUUGUGGAAUAUUCCAAAAAAAUAAUUGUUCACGAUACAAAGUUCUUGGACAAUUAGAUCACAGCACAUCUCUCAAACUAUGUCAUUUUCAUGAGCCUGGAAAAAGAGAAAGCUAGACAAACUGCAAGUUCUAUUAAAAUCCAACGGUACAUACUACAAUUAUAAAGAGUAAAUGAUAUACUCAGUGCUAAAUACUCCAUAUGAUCUCAUUUAUAGACCUUUCUGGAUACUGGUUAGUUUGCAUUGCAGUCAUUACAUCAAAUAAAAAAGCAAACAUUUAUUGUCAACUGAGCAGCACAUCCUGACAGAAAGAAAAAGAUAGGCACUGGCAAUGUAGCUCACUCGCCUACAUCCUUUCACCGAUUGCUGGCGAUUUAUUUUCUAUCUUAGAUUUCUCUCACACAACACCAUC